rnacentral:rRNA from 1 species
CCUACGGGAGGCAGCAGUGAGGAAUAGUGGUCAAUGGGCGAGAGCCUGAACCAGCCAAGUCGCGUGAAGGAUGAAGGAUCUAUGGUUUGUAAACUUCUUUUAUAGGGGAAUAAAGUGAGGAACGUGUGCCUUUUUGUAUGUACCAUAUGAAGAAGCAUCGGCUAACUCCGUGCCAGCAGCCGCGGUAAUACGGAGGAGGCGAGCGUUCUCCGGAUUUGUUGGGUUGAAUGGGGGCGUAGGGGGUUCCUGAAGUCAGCGGUGAAAGUUUGUGGCUCAACCAGAAAAUUGCCGUUGAAACUGGUUGCCUUGCGUCUAUUUGCGGUCGGCGGACUGC